GCAGGACCUGACUCAAACAGCUUGAACGUGCGUGGCAGCAGAGAGAUAAUUUCCUAACACCUUCUAGGGAGCUGUAAUACCCUGGAUGGUGAAAGGAGAGAAGGAGCUGAUUUGCUCCUUUAGCAAAUGGAGCCACCCCACAGGUGUAUCAACUGCUGCAGAGUACCUGGAGAUCUGAUCAGUUCUUGCAGGCAAAGGUAACAUUGUUGAGAUCGUAACACUGAAGAGCAAGAGGAUUCACAGACAAAACCCUC